UACAGAGGGUGCGAGCGUUGUUCGGAAUUAUUGGGCGUAAAGGGCGCGUAGGCGGUGCGGUAAGUCACUUGUGAAAUCUCCUGGCUCAACUGGGAGCUUGCAGGCGAAACUGCCGUGCUGGAGUGUGGGAGAGGUGCGUGGAAUUCCCGGUGUAGCGGUGAAAUGCGUAGAUAUCGCCUGGAACGCCAAAGGUGAAAACAGACAGCUGGGAGUGUGCUGACGCUGAGACACGGAAGCCAGGGGAGCGAACGGG
rnacentral:rRNA from 1 species